rnacentral:rRNA from 1 species
CAGUCGCCGCGGUAAUACGUAGGUGGCAAGCGUUGUCCGGAAUUAUUGGGCGUAAAGGGCUCGCAGGCGGUUUCUUAAGUCUGAUGUGAAAGCCCCCGGCUCAACCGGGGAGGGUCAUUGGAAACUGGGAAACUUGAGUGCAGAAGAGGAGAGUGGAAUUCCACGCGUAGCGGUGAAAUGCGUAGAGAUGUGGAGGAACACCAGUGGCGAAGGCGACUCUCUGGUCUGUAACUGACGCUGAGGAGCGAAAGCGUGGGGAGCGAACAGGAUUAGAUACCCCAGUAGUCCCUGUCUCUUAUAC